rnacentral:rRNA from 1 species
UGAACGCUAGCUACAGGCUUAACACAUGCAAGUCGAGGGGCAGCAUGGUCUUAGCUUGCUAAGGCCGAUGGCGACCGGCGCACGGGUGAGUAACACGUAUCCAACCUGCCGUCUACUCUUGGACAGCCUUCUGAAAGGAAGAUUAAUACAAGAUGGCAUCAUGAGUCCGCAUGUUCACAUGAUUAAAGGUAUUCCGGUAGACGAUGGGGAUGCGUUCCAUUAGAUAGUAGGCGGGGUAACGGCCCACCUAGUCUUCGAUGGAUAGGGGUUCUGAGAGGAAGGUCCCCCACAUUGGAACUGAGACACGGUCCAAACUCCUACGGGAGGCAGCAGUGAGGAAUAUUGGUCAAUGGGCGAGAGCCUGAACCAGCCAAGUAGCGUGAAGGAUGACUGCCCUAUGGGUUGUAAACUUCUUUUAUAAAGGAAUAAAGUCGGGUAUGGAUACCCGUUUGCAUGUACUUUAUGAAUAAGGAUCGGCUAACUCCGUGCCAGCAGCCGCGGUAAUACGGAGGAUCCGAGCGUUAUCCGGAUUUAUUGGGUUUAAAGGGAGCGUAGAUGGAUGUUUAAGUCAGUUGUGAAAGUUUGCGGCUCAACCGUAAAAUUGCAGUUGAUACUGGAUAUCUUGAGUGCAGUUGAGGCAGGCGGAAUUCGUGGUGUAGCGGUGAAAUGCUUAGAUAUCACGAAGAACUCCGAUUGCGAAGGCAGCCUGCUAAGCUGCAACUGACAUUGAGGCUCGAAAGUGUGGGUAUCAAACAGGAUUAGAUACCCUGGUAGUCCACACGGUAAACGAUGAAUACUCGCUGUUUGUGAUAUACUGCAAGCGGCCAAGCGAAAGCGUUAAGUAUUCCACCUGGGGAGUACGCCGGCAACGGUGAAACUCAAAGGAAUUGACGGGGGCCCGCACAAGCGGAGGAACAUGUGGUUUAAUUCGAUGAUACGCGAGGAACCUUACCCGGGCUUAAAUUGCAGAUGAAUUACGGUGAAAGCCGUAAGCCGCAAGGCAUCUGUGAAGGUGCUGCAUGGUUGUCGUCAGCUCGUGCCGUGAGGUGUCGGCUUAAGUGUCAUAACGAGCGCAACCCUUGUUGUCAGUUACUAACAGGUUCCGCUGAGGACUCUGACAAGACUGCCAUCGUAAGAUGUGAGGAAGGUGGGGAUGACGUCAAAUCAGCACGGCCCUUACGUCCGGGGCUACACACGUGUUACAAUGGGGGGUACAGAGGGCCGCUACCACGCGAGUGGAUGCCAAUCCCCAAAACCUCUCUCAGUUCGGACUGGAGUCUGCAACCCGACUCCACGAAGCUGGAUUCGUUAGUAAUCGCGCAUCAGCCACGGCGCGGUGAAUACGUUCCCGGGCCUUGUACACACCGCCCGUCAAGCCAUGGGAGCCGGGGGUACAAUGAAGUGCGUAACCGCGAGGAGCGCCCUAGGGUAAAACUG